CAGGAUGAACGCUGGCGGCAUGCCUAACACAUGCAAGUCGAACGGGGUUUAUAUAACAGAACUCUCCGGAGGGAAGAUAUAUAAACCUAGUGGCGGACGGGUGAGUAACGCGUGGGCAACCUGCCCUGUACCGGGGGACAACAGCCAGAAAUGGCUGCUAAUACCGCAUAAGCCUGCUGUGCCGCAUGGCACAGCAGGGAAAACCACGGUGGUACAGGAUGGGCCCGCGUCUGAUUAGUUAGUUGGCAGGGUAACGGCCUACCAAGACAACGAUCAGUAGCCGGCUUGAGAGAGUGGACGGCCACAUUGGGACUGAGACACGGCCCAGACUCCUGCGGGAGGCAGCAGUGGGGAAUAUUGCACAAUGGGGGGAACCCUGAUGCAGCAAUGCCGCGUGGGUGAAGAAGCACUCCGGUGCGUAAAGCCCUGUCAGCAGGGAAGAAAAUGACAGUACCUGGACAAGAAGCCCCGGCUAACUACGUGCCAGCAGCCGCGGUAAUACGUAGGGGGCAAGCGUUAUCCGGAUUUACUGGGUGUAAAGGGAGCGCAGGCGGCGUGGCAAGUCAGAUGUGAAAACCCGGGGCCCAACCCCGGGAGUGCAUUUGAAACUGCCAUGCUGGAGUGCCGGAGAGGUAAGCGGAAUUCCUAGUGUAGCGGUGAAAUGCGUAGAUAUUAGGAGGAACACCAGUGGCGGAGGCGGCUUACUGGACGGUAACUGACGCUGAGGCUCGAAAGCGUGGGGAGCAAACAGGAUUAGAUACCCUGGUAGUCCACGCCGUAA
rnacentral:rRNA from 1 species